GGCCUAUGACAGAUAUUCAUUUGAUGUGAUACCAGUCCUUGGAGAUGUCAUCGCUGGUGACUGGAAAUCAUACCAGUACUUAGUAGAGAGCAUUAGACAGUUUCCUAAACAGAAAGAGUUUUCUGCGAUGAUUGAGGAUGCCGGUUUCAGCCUUGUAAGACAUGAAAACCUAUCUCUUGGGAUUGCUGCAAUACACUCAGGAUUCAAAUUAUAGGACACCAUCAGAAGAAGUCUUGACAUUGGUUGAUUGGUAAAUGCAAGGGAUUGUAAGGACAUUCUAUCAUCUUCCUGAUGAUGGACAAGACUGAAUCGUUGGAUUUGAUCUUUGAAACUGUCAAUUCCUUUGUAAAUCCAAAAGAUUGUAAAGACAUUGUAUCAUCUUCCUGACUUACUCACCUUUGAUGACUGAUGAACUAGCCUGAAUUGUUGGAUUGAAUCUUUGAAUGCAUCAAAGACCGAAGAAGACUUUGUAUCAAUUUCUUGAUAAAUCCAAGAGAUUGUAAAGACAUUCCAACAUCUUCCUGACGUGACUUCAUCACCGUUCAUGAGUGAUGAACUAGCAUGAACUGCUCCUGGAAAACCUUUAAGAUCACAUACAGUAUACGGUAGCACAGGAGUACAUGUAGGCACGCAACCUGAUAACUCGACUCUAUGGGAAUUUUUCCUUGAAGCGAGAGUUGUUUUUCAGUGAAAGCAAGAGGGAAUAGGUGUUUCAGAUGGGAAGUGAUUUGGGAGUUAUCUGAUAUAUUCAGAAUGAUGACCGACAUUCAAAUGGCAGGAAGGAAGGAAUAAAUAUAUCAAAGAUAACAUGGAAUAAUAUUGAGAAGAAUAAUACGGUGAUAAAAGGUUCCCAUAUUUGUUGUCACAAUAUUUUGCAGUUGAAACUACUUUUCUUUCUUUCAUUUCUCUCCAGAGGUACUAAUCAAAGCUAUCAUGAAGAGUAUCUUAAUAAAUGAUUAUUAAUUUUACAUUCACUCACAUCAUCAUCCAGAGACAUGGUGUCUUUGGACAGUAUUUUCGUCUUAGUAAUCUCAAAUCUUGAUUGAAUUGGAAAGUUGUCCGAGUCCACUACAACUUGAAAGUAAUAUUCAAGACUUUUCAAAUGUACAAUCUGGUCCUUUGGGUUUAUUCCAAAACUGCAAUUCUUAUCAACAUUUGUGACCGUCUUUUCUAUUCUGACAAGUAAGAUUUCUUUGAUUAACACUAUGUUUUUAUUUAGAAUUCUGUUGUAUUUUGCUUUAAAGUUUGAUACUUUGAUCGAAUUGAAAAAACUUAGAAAUUGAUGCUAUAUUAUAGUUGAUUCCUUUCCAAGGAGGAACCCCUUUUCUUAGCCCCCCCCCCCCUCCCCCGGCAAAAAAAAAACAUCUGUUUUCAUUUCUCUCUCUAUCUCUCUCUACCAUAUCCCCCCCUCUAUCAUUUUCCUCCUUCCUGCUCUACCCCCUUUUCUUUCUCUCUCUCUCUCUCUCUUCCUCUCCCCCCCCCCUCUAUCUCUCUUUUCAACCCUUGCCAUACCCACCCUCAGUUGUUUUUCAACUCCUAAACUAACAAAGCUAAAAGAUAAAAGACUCAUACAAUAACGAUCAUGAACUUUAUUAUCUAUCACCUCAAAGAAUUAAACUUAUGAUUCUGACUAUGGAAACAAUGUCUACAUGUAGUGUGCCAAGUUUAGUAACAGUUGUGCUCAAAAGCUAGUGAACCCCACCACAAAAUACACUUCUUCAUGCUGAAUGUUGAAUGUAGACAACUAGCAAGCCCAGAGAAACACACUUUAUUUAAUGCAAUAUUUUAUCACCUGAUUUCACAAUAAAAUAUCUAAAACAUGGCAGAACUUGAACACAUUAAAUAUGUUUAUUUUCUGGUGGGAUAUACUAACUUUUAGCACCACAGUAUGUGUUAUUAAAAGAAAGGGAGAAGUGAAUUAGAGAGAGAGGGCAGAAAAAAGAUAACUAGGAAUACUUGGCAACUAUGAAUGUACAGUAAACAACACAAAAUGCAUGUUUAACUUUAUUUUGAGUAAUCACAAUUUUCAUGUGCAUAACUAAUUAUUUCUAGAAAAUGAUCAAAGCAUUUUAAAGAUAAAUGCAGUACUCUAAAACACUCAUUUUGGGUUCCAUAUAAAGCAGCAAUAGAAUCCAUACACCUCUGCAGUAUUGUUAUAACUAAAAUGAAGCAUCGCAAACAACAUGGCAAACAGAAAUUACGAAUCCUUAGAGUUCAAUAACAAUAUGUACAGUGCGUCCCACAAAAAAACAAAACCGAGAUUUAGCAAUGAUUUAUCAUAACUUAAUCAUGAAUACAAUAGACAAAUGGCCUAUCAUUGUAAAGCUUAGUCUCCUCUUUCAUCUGGUACAACAUAGAAUAUUUGCAUUCAUGCAUUGGUGAGUGAAAACAAUUUCAAGAAAGGAUACCAAAAGGUCAUUUGGCAGGGGGUAUCUGAAUUUCAAAAAGAAAAACACAUGCUUAAAAGGUUCGAUAUCUGCUCUUUAUUUUGAUGCCUCAGUCACAGGAAAUGGUCAAGAAAUAACAAACUUCUGUUCCUUCAAAACAAUGCUUGUAAUGCAAUAAUUUCAUAAAACAAACAUGUUUUCACCACUUUCCCACCGAAGCUAUCGCAUGAUUAACAAAAGACUUUCUGCAUGGCUGAUCGUUAUCAAAAUGUAGUGUUGAGUAAGUCUAAAAGCUAGCCUAUAAACCUCAUUUUAUGAAAUUAUUGAAAUUCAAGCCUUAUUUCAAAGAAACAGAACUUUUUUAUUUCUUGACCAUUUUAUUUAUUGAGGUAUCAAAUUAAAGAGCAGAUAUUGAACAUUUUUAAAAUGUGAUUUUCUUUUUGAAUCCCAGAUACCCCACGCCAAGUGACUUUUUGGUAUCCUUUCUUCCAAUUGCUUUUACUCACUCAUACGUGAAUGGCAAAUCUUCUAUGUUAUAUCAGUUGAAAGAGUGGACUCUGAGCUUUACAAUGAUAGGCCAUUUGUCCAUUGUAUUUGUGAUUAAGUUAUGAUAAAUCAUCGCUAAAUCUUGGUUUUGUUUUUUUGUGGGAUGCACUGUAUAUAUACAUUUAAAUCUUGCAUUCUCUUUUCAUGUUAGUAUAAGGUUUCAUUUUGAUGUACAUGUAUUAUAUUCAAGUAAUGCUAUUUGGCAGAAACAUGGGAUGUAUGAAAGUAGAGACAAGAGAGAGUUAUCUACUAAAGAUGAUGAAUUAAUUUGGUCUUUUCAACAUGUCAAGAUUCUGCAGUGUUCAUGUAUAUCAAAGGAUACAGGUAAACAAUGUACGGAUAAUAAAUCAAAGCUCAAUUAAUCCUUCAUCUUUCAACUAUUUUAAGGCUCAGGCUGAUGAUAACAUGAAUUGAAUGGACUCAAAUUGAGCAAGCAAAUCACUGAACAUUUUCUUCAACCUGAUGAAAACUAAGGAAGUUGACAGAAGCUGAUAUAAUUAUUUCAUUGCUUAUAAGAGUUUAAACUAUGUCUUUAUCUCCCAAAACAAGUUACCUCGAUCACCAAUGUGGUUCUUAUACAUCACAUUUGAUCAUUGAUCAUUCAUUUUUGUUAUUUCUACGAGCAGAAUCAAAAAAAUUAAUCUUGUAAAUUUUCAUAAUAAAAAAGGUAUGGUGGCAUUGUCAGCUCACUUCAUAUUCAUAUUCAUGAUGACAUUCAUAACUGUUUCACCAGUAGAAUGCAUAAUGCAACACGUGAAAAUCCAUAAUUUUGUCAUUUAAUUUCGGGUUUUUGAGGAAAUCCUAUUUUACAUAAAUAGGUGUACUCUUUUACUUCAGAUCAUAUAUUUUUUCAGUCUGCAUGGAGAACUCAUAGUCCUUUAAACGCAUGUCUGAUAACUCUUUUCAGGCAACCACAAGAUUAAAUAUUUGCUUUAAUAUGAGAAUAUUAUGUUACAAGUCAAUUGAACACAUGAUCUAUAUCCUUUUUUUUUUCUUUUUUUUUCAUUGUACACCUCUUCUUCUACCUGUACAAACCGACUACAAACAAGAAAAUAAACAUUAUACAAACGAUGUGUUUCUUGCACAUCACAUUCGUUCAGUAAUCAAUCAUAAUUAUUUUAAAUAUUCUACAGACAGAACCUAAAAUGAUAAUUAUAAUUGUUCAUAAUAAAAUACAAAAAAGUAUAAAGUGAUAGUAAACUCACUCAAACCAUAUUCAUGAACUGUUUCACAAAUAUAGGAAUACAAUGCAUAAUGAAAAUUUUGAAAAGCCAUAACUUUGUUAUUUCAUUUCUGAUUUUGACAAAAUUAUAUUGUUUUACAUAAUGUACAUACUAUUUUAAGUAUGGAGAAUGCAUAGUCCACAUGUGUAACUCUAUGCAGGCAACUGCAAGAUCAAAUAUUUGUUUUUUAAUGUGAGUAUAACUGCUACAAGUAAAUUGAAUACAUGAUACAAUUUCUUCUUUUUCUUUGUACAUCUUUUCUCCGACAAGUACAAAUCGAUAGAAAUGAUCUACUGAAAUGUACAAAAUACAAAUAUAUACAAACUGUCUGAAUGAUAUAAGCAUAAAACCCCUGAAAAACGACGAGGAGCAAGAUACGCCUGCGUAACACAAACUAGAUAACAAAAUACAAAAUAUAAGAAGGACUAAGAGAAGGAGAGGUGGAAUUGAGUAACUCCGGUAGAGCAUGGUUAGAGAAACAUGUGUUGUGAAUAUUUUGCUCGAAAAACUGCCGCUGCUGCUCCAUAAUAUUGGCGUCAAAUGAUUAUCUCUCAUGGUCCUGGAAAGCGCGGGGGGGGGUGCCGAGGAUGCUGAAGCACCCCCAAUAUUUUCCUUGGGGGUGCUGCGUGUAUUAUUCUCCAUAGGCAGCAGCCCCUGGAAUUCCGGAAGGUGUGACAAAAUGGAGAAAUGUAAUCAUUUUGUAAAGAAACUUUUUUUUUUCGCUUGCCAAAUUUACAUCAGCACCCCCAGUAAAAAAAAUCGUUCCCAGGGCCCUGCCCUAUCCUUUUUUUAAAUUAUUAUUAUCAAUUUCACGGUUACCGAUCCAUAUCACAUAUUGUGCUCAUUCGCGAUCGAACUAACAAACGAUUUUCCUCAUUUUUCAAUAUUGUAUUUUUAUUCAUCAGUGUAUCAAUCGGCUGAUGCCUGUUCCUUUUUCUCAGUUUGAUACAAAUCAGAAUUUAUAUACAAUACAAUACACGCUCCUCUUAAUGUACAUUUGCUGAGACGCAGGACGUGUUCUUAUCAACAUAUAUAGUGUUCGUUUUAUAGGUCCUAAAAAGGGAACAAUUUAUCUAAAGACAUCAGAAAUGCACCAUCUUUGAAUUACUUUAAGCCAGUAUUUUACCUUCAUUCACAUGGCCCUGGGAAGCGUGAUCCUGGGGGUGGAUCUCCAUUUUGUAGUGAAAACCCUUUUAUUUUGUUUAUUUUUUAUUUUAUUUUUGCUUUUCAAAAUUACUUCAGCACCCCAGUUAAAAAGUCGUUCCCAUGGCCCUGUUAUCUCUAUUCAGAAUUGUUGUAAAUCAUCCAUUAAUUUUCAUAUUUUCAUAAAUGUUUCUUUAUAUUCUAAGCAAUCCUGUUUAACCAUACUGUACAUGGAUAUCUGAAAUGUCACCGUUGAUCAUUAAAGGGUUCUUCAAUCUUUUACAUUAA